rnacentral:rRNA from 1 species
GAGUUGCGAACGGGUGAGUAACGCGUAGGUAACCUGCCUGGUAGCGGGGGAUAACUAUUGGAAACGAUAGCUAAUACCGCAUAAGAACAUUUACUGCAUGGUAGAUGUUUAAAAGGUGCAAGAGCAUCACUACCAGAUGGACCUGCGUUGUAUUAGCUAGUUGGUGAGGUAACGGCUCACCAAGGCAACGAUACAUAGCCGACCUGAGAGGGUGAUCGGCCACACUGGGACUGAGACACGGCCCAGACUCCUACGGGAGGCAGCAGUAGGGAAUCUUCGGCAAUGGGGGAAACCCUGACCGAGCAACGCCGCGUGAGUGAAGAAGGUUUUCGGAUCGUAAAGCUCUGUUGUUAAGGAAGAACGUGUGUGAGAGUGGAAAGUUCACACAGUGACGGUACUUAACCAGAAAGGGACGGCUAACUACGUGCCAGCAGCCGCGGUAAUACGUAGGUCUCGAGCGUUGUCCGGAUUUAUUGGGCGUAAAGCGAGCGCAGGCGGUUAGAUAAGUCUGAAGUGAAAGGCAGUGGCUCAACCAUUGUAGGCUUUGGAAACUGUUUAACUUGAGUGCAGAAGGGGAGAGUGGAAUUCCAUGUGUAGCGGUGAAAUGCGUAGAUAUAUGGAGGAACACCGGUGGCGAAAGCGGCUCUCUGGUCUGUAACUGACGCUGAGGCUCGAAAGCGUGGGGAGCGAACAGGAUUAGAUACCCUGGUAGUCCACGCCGUAAACGAUGAGUGCUAGGUGUUAGGUCCUUUCCGGGACUUAGUGCCGCAGCUAACGCAUUAAGCACUCCGCCUGGGGAGUACGACCGCAAGGUUGAAACUCAAAGGAAUUGACGGGGGCCCGCACAAGCGGUGGAGCAUGUGGUUUAAUUCGAAGCAACGCGAAGAACCUUACCAGGUCUUGACAUCCCUCUGACCACUCUAGAGAUAGAGUUUCCCUUCGGGGCAGAGGUGACAGGUGGUGCAUGGUUGUCGUCAGCUCGUGUCGUGAGAUGUUGGGUUAAGUCCCGCAACGAGCGCAACCCUUAUUGUUAGUUGCCAUCAUUCAGUUGGGCACUCUAGCGAGACUGCCGGUAAUAAACCGGAGGAAGGUGGGGAUGACGUCAAAUCAUCAUGCCCCUUAUGACCUGGGCUACACACGUGCUACAAUGGCUGGUACAACGAGUCGCAAGCCGGUGACGGCAAGCUAAUCUCUGAAAGCCAGUCUCAGUUCGGAUUGUAGGCUGCAACUCGCCUACAUGAAGUCGGAAUC